rnacentral:rRNA from 1 species
GCCGUGACUGGAGUUCAGACGUGUGCUCUUCCGAUCUCCGAGGAAAAGAAAUCAACCGAGAUUCCCCCAGUAGCGGCGAGCGAACGGGGAGGAGCCCAGAGCCUGAAUCAGUGUGUGUGUUAGUGGAAGCGUCUGGAAAGGCGCGCGAUACAGGGUGACAGCCCCGUACACAAAAAUGCACAUGCUGUGAGCUCGAUGAGUAGGGCGGGACACGUGGUAUCCUGUCUGAAUAUGGGGGGACCAUCCUCCAAGGCUAAAUACUCCUGACUGACCGAUAGUGAACCAGUACCGUGAGGGAAAGGCGAAAAGAACCCCGGCGAGGGGAGUGAAAAAGAACCUGAAACCGUGUACGUACAAGCAGUGGGAGCCUCUUUAUGGGGUGACUGCGUACCUUUUGUAUAAUGGGUCAGCGACUUAUAUUCUGUAGCAAGGUUAACCGAAUAGGGGAGCCGAAGGGAAACCGAGUCUUAACUGGGCGUUAAGUUGCAGGGUAUAGACCCGAAACCCGGUGAUCUAGCCAUGGGCAGGUUGAAGGUUGGGUAACACUAACUGGAGGACCGAACCGACUAAUGUUGAAAAAUUAGCGGAUGACUUGUGGCUGGGGGUGAAAGGCCAAUCAAACCGGGAGAUAGCUGGUUCUCCCCGAAAGCUAUUUAGGUAGCGCCUCGUGAAUUCAUCUUCGGGGGUAGAGCACUGUUUCGGCUAGGGGGUCAUCCCGACUUACCAACCCGAUGCAAACUGCGAAUACCGGAGAAUGUUAUCACGGGAGACACACGGCGGGUGCUAACGUCCGUCGUGAAGAGGGAAACAACCCAGACCGCCAGCUAAGGUCCCAAAGUCAUGGUUAAGUGGGAAACGAUGUGGGAAGGCCCAGACAGCCAGGAUGUUGGCUUAGAAGCAGCCAUCAUUUAAAGAAAGCGUAAUAGCUCACUGGUCGAGUCGGCCUGCGCGGAAGAUGUAACGGGGCUAAACCAUGCACCGAAGCUGCGGCAGCGACACUAUGUGUUGUUGGGUAGGGGAGCGUUCUGUAAGCCUGCGAAGGUGUACUGUGAGGUAUGCUGGAGGUAUCAGAAGUGCGAAUGCUGACAUAAGUAACGAUAAAGCGGGUGAAAAGCCCGCUCGCCGGAAGACCAAGGGUUCCUGUCCAACGUUAAUCGGGGCAGGGUGAGUCGACCCCUAAGGCGAGGCCGAAAGGCGUAGUCGAUGGGAAACAGGUUAAUAUUCCUGUACUUGGUGUUACUGCGAAGGGGGGACGGAGAAGGCUAUGUUGGCCGGGCGACGGUUGUCCCGGUUUAAGCGUGUAGGCUGGUUUUCCAGGCAAAUCCGGAAAAUCAAGGCUGAGGCGUGAUGACGAGGCACUACGGUGCUGAAGCAACAAAUGCCCUGCUUCCAGGAAAAGCCUCUAAGCAUCAGGUAACAUCAAAUCGUACCCCAAACCGACACAGGUGGUCAGGUAGAGAAUACCAAGGCGCUUGAGAGAACUCGGGUGAAGGAACUAGGCAAAAUGGUGCCGUAACUUCGGGAGAAGGCACGCUGAUACGUAGGUGAAGCGACUUGCUCGUGGAGCUGAAAUCAGUCGAAGAUACCAGCUGGCUGCAACUGUUUAUUAAAAACACAGCACUGUGCAAACACGAAAGUGGACGUAUACGGUGUGACGCCUGCCCGGUGCCGGAAGGUUAAUUGAUGGGGUUAGCGGUAACGCGAAGCUCUUGAUCGAAGCCCCGGUAAACGGCGGCCGUAACUAUAACGGUCCUAAGGUAGCGAAAUUCCUUGUCGGGUAAGUUCCGACCUG